AUAACGUAGCGAAAGUUACGCUAAUACCGCAUAUUCUGUGAGCAGGAAAGCAGGGGAUCGCAAGACCUUGCGCUGAUUGAGCGGCCGAUAUCAGAUUAGCUAGUUGGUGAGGUAAAGGCUCACCAAGGCGACGAUCUGUANCGGGUCUGAGAGGAUGAUCCGCCACACUGGAACUGAGACACGGUCCAGACUCCUACGGGAGGCAGUAGUGGGGAAUUUUGGACAAUGGGCGCAAGCCUGAUCCAGCCAUGCCGCGUGAGUGAAGAAGGCCUUCGGGUUGUAAAGCUCUUUCAGCCGGGAAGAAAACGCAUGGGUUAAUACCCUGUGUGGAUGACGGUACCGGAAUAAGAAGCACCGGCUAACUACGUG
rnacentral:rRNA from 1 species